rnacentral:rRNA from 1 species
UACGGGGGGGGCAAGCGUUGUUCGGAAUUACUGGGCGUAAAGGGCGCGUAGGCGGCCUGCUAAGUCGGAUGUGAAAUCCCUCGGCUCAACCGAGGAACUACAUCCGAUACUGGCGGGCUUGAAUCCGGGAGAGGGAUGUGGAAUUCCAGGUGUAGCGGUGAAAUGCGUAGAUAUCUGGAGGAACACCGGUGGCGAAGGCGGCAUCCUGGACCGGUAUUGACGCUGAGGCGCGAAAGCUAGGGGAGCAAACGGG